rnacentral:rRNA from 1 species
UUUAACUGAGCGUUCAGUUACUUGACGUAGACCCGAAACCGGGCGACCUACCCAUGAGCAGGAUGAAGCGAAAGUAAAAUUUCGUGGAGGUCCGAACCCACGAGCGUUGAAAAGCUCGGGGAUGACUUGUGGGUAGCGGUGAAAUUCCAAUCGAGCCCGGAGAUAGCUGGUUCUCCCCGAAAUAGCUUUAGGGCUAGCCUCAAGGUGAGAGAUACGGAGGUAGAGCACUGAAUGUCCUAGGGGGUAUUGCACCUACCGAAGACUAUCAAACUCCGAAUGCCGUCAUCUUAUACUUGGGAGUCAGACUGUGGGUGAUAAGAUUCAUAGUCGAAAGGGCAACAGCCCAGAUCGUCAGCUAAGGUCCCUAAAUGUAAGUUAAGUGGUAAAGGAUGUGGGAUUGCACAGACAACCAGGAUGUUGGCUUAGAAGCAGCCACUCAUUCAAAGAGUGCGUAAUAGCUCACUGGUCGAGUGAUCCUGCGCCGAAGAUUUCCGGGGCUAAAACUUACUACCGAAGCUACGGCAUCAGUAAUGAUGGGUAGGGGAGCUUCCCAUACGGGUUGAAGCAUGACCGUAAGGACAUGUGGACAGUAUGGGAGUGAGAAUGUUGGCAUGAGUAGCGAGAUGUGGGUGAGAAU